rnacentral:sRNA from 1 species
CUCCCUGUCUGUUCUGGUCUCAGUGUUCUGAAGACCUGGUGUGCUGACAUUUAAUCUCCAUCCUGAGAUAUCUCAAAGGAGUAGUCGUCUGACUGGAGUGGAGUCCUCAGAGAAUGAAGGGAGUUAGAAAAAGCCAUCAAGCAGAGUGCCUUCUCCGUGAGGCUUGCUGGCUGUAGAAAGGAAAAGAUGGUGAUGGUUAAGUCAGACCUGGAUGUGACCUACCGACAGAUCUUAUUCGAACAAGUGACUGAAAUAAUUUUCCUUCCGCUAUAUAAUGGGCAUAUCCACAGACCUUUCUUGGAGUAAGGACAGCAUAAAAACUUCCACAUGAGACCUGAUCCAUUCAUUUUCUUGUCAGCUGAUCAGCGAGGAUGCUGAACUCAGGAUAAAGUGGGGAGAGACAAGGGCUUGGUCCUGAAGAGAGUGUGACUACCUCCCUUGGGCAUGACCCUGCCCAGACUCGUGCCCAGAAAGACGCACAAGCCAGAAAUGCCUGCUUACCACAGUCCAGUAGGAAUUCUGAAACAUAAGUGGACACGAACCCCUUUCGACUCGUCCCCCAAAUCUGUGAGCACCAUCUCUUCAGGUGAAGGCCAGUGAUCACAGUGUGUCCUUGUGAGAAAAUGUUUCAAUUUGAAGGAAAGGGCUGCUAUAGCAGGCAAAUUCUGCACUACUAAGGACUCUUAAAAUCCAGUCUUCCGAACCCCAGGCCUCUUCCUAACUCCCCACAUCAAUGAGUUUGACCUUGAACUUCAGAUCCUUUCACCACAACUUCCUGAAUGCUGUGCUUACAGGGGCGUGCCUGGUUUUAGCAGGACUGAAUCUCAAGCUCGCCACCCACACGCUAGAACAAAAGGACUUGCAAGUUGCACAGCUUCUGGAAACUUCCAUACACCAGAGGGAGGUAUAGGAAAUGUUCGGUUGGCUACAGUUAGAGGCAACUACUCUGUUGCUUCCAACUUAACUUCACAGCCUCCUCAGGUAACGGAGACAAAGACUUCUGCAACCAGGCCAGGCAGAGCUCCGUUCUUACCAUUAAAGUCCCCUUUGGUCUGCUGGCCCAAGGCAGACUCAUCCGAUA